rnacentral:lncRNA from 1 species
AAGUGGCAUGUGUGUCUUGUACUUUCCAGCGUACACUUUGUACAGGGAGGCAUGAAAAUAGGCAUAGGGGUAAAGCAUAGAUUAAAAUUUACUGUGCCUUCCACUUCUUCAAAUGAAGAUAUUAAACUCCAUGUACGGUGGCUUCCUGGGAGAAGCGGUGACUCUGAACUAGUCAGCAGUAAUGACCUCUUUAUUAUGGUUUCCCGCUUCUCUGAGGUCUGUGUCACUUUGACUUGGCUUUCGCUGCUGGAUGUCUAAGCCUGACAUCACCCUGGUUGGAAUGUGCUACCUAAAGGUCAUUCUAUGGAACUCAGUUCAUCAGGCUGUGACAGGAUGGUUUACCAGCUGAUAUGUCUGAACAAGCUCACAAAAUAAACACACACCCCAUCUUGUAUUAAAAA